rnacentral:misc_RNA from 1 species
GGGCUGGGAGAGAACUGCAAGUGGCUUGAGAUGUUUGAAGAUGUUGGGAUGGUCAUUUUCUGUGUUGCAUUGAGUGACUAUGAUCAAAUUUGGGCUCAUGGUUCGGGUCCUCAUUGUAAUAAAAUGUUGGCUAGUAGAGACAUGUUUGAGAGUUUGGUGAGGCACCCUUGUUUUAGAGACACCCCUUUCGUGCUUUUUCUGAACAAAUAUGAUGUAUUUGAGGACAAGAUCAACCAGGUUCCUUUGUCCACCUGUGAGUGGUUUGCAGACUUUAGCCCUUUGAAGGCCCAUAACAAUAGUCAGACUCUGGCUCACCAAGCAUACUACUAUGUGGCUGUGAAAUUCAAGGAGCUAUAUUCUUUAAUCAGCGGAUGUAAGUUGUUUGUGUGGCAGACCAGAGCCCGGGAGCGUACCUCAGUUGAUGAGGCAUUCAAGUACGCAAGGGAAGUCCUCAAGUGGGAUGAAGAGAAGGAUGAUAACAUGUAUGGAAUCACUGGGGAUGAUUCAUUUUACAGUACAGAAAUGAGCUCCAAUCCUUAUAUAAGGCAAGAGUAACCAGGUAAAUCCUUUCUGCACUGGCAAGCCAACAUUAUGAUGAAGUGGGAGACUGAUUGGAAAUUUGAUGGAAUGUGGUAAUAUGAAAGAGAGAAAUUGAGAUGAUUUAUAGCUUUGUCAGGGGUCAUGCUGCUGUGUGCUGUGUGGUCUUGUUGGUUAGAAUAGGGAUUGAUUUAUAAAUAAACUGAAUCUAAUUUGAGGGUUUCUUUGUUUUCUCAUUUUAUUUUUGGGGGUUGAGGGAAUUUAUCCAUCUGUAUAGCUUUAGCUUACUCUGUUCACCAUAAUAAAACCAGCUUUUGUAAUCAUUUUAUUGUUUAGAUUUCCUGUAGAUUUUCGGGAGAUUACCUUCAUUGUUAGACACUGCUCUUUGUUAGCUUGCCAACUCUUCAGAAAUACAACAAUUUCGCUUUUAUUUUUGUUAUUUUGAAUUGAUUUUUU